CCCCCUCCUUACCUGUGAGCAAUGGGGACAGGAUGGCAUCUCUGCUCCUCUGCCUCCCUUCAGCGCCCACAUGGGAAGGGGCAGAGGUGGGUGAAAAGCCUCUGGAGCCACCACCCCGGCCUGAAAGAGGGGAGACCCUGAUGCACCCUGCCCCAGGAAAGGGGGGUAAAGAGUCACAGGAGAAGACGAGGGAGAGGUGGGGGACUGUGACUAAAGUCUCAAAUCCACACACCAGCCCAGGAAGACUCACUCCAUGGAAAGUGAGGCAUAGCCAUACAUCUGCUGAGGGAUCAGCUGAAAGAGAAUUUUUGUAUUCUGGAAUCGCCUGCUUUCCGAACCCCCUGGGCCUACUUCUCCUCUCACACCAGCCUGACUGAUGACUCCAGUGAAGCUAUUCUGGAUUUACA